GCAAUAUACAUUCGUACACAACGUUAGCAUGUUAGCUUCCGCCUACUUACCGAGUGAUUAACGCCCCACAUAAAGACACUUUGGACAGGGUCGCUGGCUCGGAGCACUUUGAGCUUCUGCUGAACGAAGUGUUUCUUUUUCGUCUUAGUCUUGGGCGCCAGGACUACCAUAGGACUGGAGGUGGCCGCCGAGUUACCGCCCGAAGCCAUGACCACCAACAGGCGGGCUUGCUCUCCGUCAGAGUCGCGAGAAGCUCCUUACACUUCUUCUGGAAUGGAGGCUAACUGUUGCUCAGCCAGCCGGGGCUAAUCUUCCCAAUACUACCAAAAGUUACCCUUUGAGCUCGGAAUGUGUUACGAUAACAGUACCGUUUUGAAGCGCUAAAUGGAUGGCCCAUUCGUCAACUUAAACCGCGCUUGACAAGACCGUGGAAACAGUAAUGGUUGACACGGCCUACCACCGCCCCUCCAGCCCGGCGAUGUUGUUAUCAACCACGUGGUGACUUUUUGACUGACAGGAGCAGCGACCAAAGAAAAGCUUCCAAGUCGGUCCUCAUUAAGGUCAUGGGUAAGCUAGAGCUUAUCCUGGCAGACUUGGGGGAAACCGGCUCACACUGAACUGGCCACCUGUCAAUUACAGGAAGGCGGGCUACCCAGAAAAAAAUACGCAAGUAUGGAGAGAACAUGCAAACUCUACACAGUGAUGCUUUAACAACGAUUCAAACCAUCGCACUGUAAUGUAGAUGUUGGCUACAAAUUAUAACUCGACUGCACACUUUUUUCACCCCAGAUGUCUUUUCUCAUCGUAGGAACGAAAUAUCUGUUCAUUUGACCUUUGCCAUAACAUAUGAUAGCUUAGGAAGUUUGAAAAUGGUGUUUUUUCUUAAUUUUUCUGAAGUUGUUUUGAUACAGUAAAUGUGAAGUGAAUUAUAUUUAUAUAGCACUUUUCUCUAGUGACUCAAAGCGCUUUACAUUGUGAAACCCAUUAUCUAAGUUAUAUUUACACCAGUGUGGGUAGCACUGGGAGCAGAUGAGUAAAGUGUCUUGCCCAAGGACACAACGGAAGUGACAAGGAGGAUGGAAGCGGGGUUCGAACGUGGAAUUCUCGAGUUGCUAGCAUGGCCGCUCUACCAACCGAGCCACGCUGCCCCCAAUGAGCAGCAAUGUUUUUAUUUUUAAAUGACGAGACAUGGAAACAGUGAAUUAUGAUCUUUGUACUGUAAGUAUGAGAAAAGUCCAAUUGAAUCGUGACACUGAUGUUCAUGUGUGUAUUUCAUGCUAUGGCUGCUGUUUAUGCUCGUGUGAGGAGAGGAAUUGUCAAGAAUAGCAGAGGCAUCCAGCCUAUAGAUAGAGAUUCUGUGGUGAAGUAAUUCUGAUCAUGCUUCCUCCAUUAUCUGCAGGGCCUUCAUUCCAUAAUGCUUGGACAAAUGGGAUAUUCCCUGCGGUUACCUUGGAAACAGGCAUGUUUCAAGGCCCUGUGGAGAAGCAGGAGCAAAUAAUCCUUCAUGUGCGGCUUAUUUGCUCAAAAGCACUAUGAGGUUAAUGUGCUGUAAUGUGUAAUUUCUAUUGCAUUGCCAAAUAUAGCCUGGGAAAUAAAUGA